AGUUUAAAGAAAUCUUUUUAAAUGUGUCCUGCCCAGUGUAUUUUAUAAAUGGCCGCAGUACCCUGACUGUGCAAAGGUAGCAUAAUCAAUUGGCUUUUAAUUAAAGUCUGGAAUGAAAGGAUUUAUGAAAAGAGACUGUCUUAAAAAUAUUUAAUUUAAUUUAUUUAUUAGGUGAAAAUACCUAUAUAUAGAAAAAAGACGAGAAGACCCUUAGAAUUUUUAUAAUAUAAUUUAUAUAUUUAUUUUUGUUGGGGCGACAAUUAAGCAUUUAAACCUUAAAUUUUUUUAAAACGAAAUUGUUAUAAAAGAUUAAAUUACCUUAGGGAUAACAGCAUUAUUUUAUAAAAGUUUGUGACCUCGAUGUUGGACUAGGAACUUUAUGGCUAGCAGUCUAAAAAGAUUUGUUCUGUUCGAACAAUAAAAUCCU
rnacentral:rRNA from 1 species